UCGCGGAGGUGGCCGGCUGCGUGGAAGCUAGGCCUCCACCUUGAGCAAGGGACGGGAGUGGCACACAUACACACGUAUGCAUCCCAGCAACCUCGGCCGCCGGUGUGCCGCCAACGACGAGCCUCCGGCAGGUGGCGACUUUCAUCUGCACCGGCACAUCCUCUAGGGCUGUGCGGUGAUGGCUCGAUCUAUUCCUACGAAGUGGUAGGAGCUCCAACUCUUCUCUCCGUCAGGUGUGUCUCAUAUAUGUUCUUGUUUGGCUACAGGAACGGGACAUGAGGGGAAUGAGAGGAAGGGUGAGAUCUGGCGGGGAGAGAAAGAAAGAUAGAGAGAGAGGACGGGUACUUGCGAAAGUGCCCAUCUAAUCCUAAUUUUUGUCAGAGAUAGAUGGGAGAAACAUAAGCAAUACAAGAUCUUUGAGCCACAAUUCAAUUAGCACAGGAUUCCCCAAAACAUUUGCUCCACUCCUAAUUCCACUGACCUUUCGUCGACGAUGUGAACAUCGCUGGAGCUUCUUGUCCUAGAUUUUACACGACCAUAUGUGUUCUACUCACGGUGGAAAAGCCCACCAUGAGUGAGAUAGAACAAAUGAUGGCGGUGGAAGUGAGGCUACAACAUCUGAUCCUAAGUGGCAUGAUGUCAGUAAGUGGUGUUAUGGUAGAGACAGUUAUGGUGUUCUUAUGGCAUUAAUGGGUGGACAUCACAUUGACAACGAUGGUGCAAAAGACCUGACUUAUGUUGAUAGAAUCCAUGUGUUUUUAGCAUCAAACAUCAUAGAAUUAUUCAGUUUUCAACAAGUUUUCUUAUAAUGGUUCAAAUGAUGAUGGAUCAACUAUUUGGGCUGACCUCAUGCUGUUCUACGGAAGUUUGGUUUAGCAUUUUGUUUUUCUCUACAGAAGACCCUGUAAUAUGAUUUGCAGGUUGUCGUUUUGCGGUUAUUGAACUUUGAGUUUGUAAUGUCUGUUCAUGCCUAAUAGUCAACAUAUACUGUAAAAGUUUAGGAUCUAUAACAUCCGGAUACAUCCGCCCAUACUGGAUGUGUAUUUCUUCGAGGAUCGUGUCCUCAUAUAGAGUACAAUAGUUCUCUUAUUUGGAGUUUAAUCCAUGUAAGCAUGAAGUUAUGCUCAUACGCUUUCAGCCUGCCACUGUUCAAAUCUGCAAGUGGCUGACGCCAUAUGUAGUUGCCAGCACUACACGAGUUCAGAAAUGAAGUAUUCUGGUUUGACCAUCUGAGUAUACAUUAUGUAUGUGUUGUGAGAUCCAACACUGAUUUUGGGGACAGGACAGCAAGCAUGGAUGGCGUACACACAGUCUAUUCUGAACAUGUUUACAGUAAGAUCAUGGAUAUGCGUAUGGAUUAUGGAAAAAUUUGUAAAGUGAAAUUAUUUUAAUUUGCUGAAAAUAAAUGUAGGCUGCCUGCCGAGUCUUGUCUAGA